GAUGUCGAUAUUCGACGUCAUAAACACGAACAACUUUGAUGUUUACGACGUCGAUAUACAACGUCAUAAACACGAUCAACUUUGGUGUUUAUGACGACGAAAUUCGACGUCGAUAUACGACGUCAUCAACACGAUCAACUUUGAUGUUUAUGAUGUCGAUAUUCGACGUCAUAAACACGAUCAACUUUGGUGUUUAUGACGUCGAUAUUGGACGACAUAAACACGAUCAACUUUGAUGUUUACGACGUCGAUAUACGACGUCAUAAACACGAUCAACUUUGGUGUUAAUGACGUUGAUAUUCGACAUC
rnacentral:miRNA from 1 species